UAAAAUUCAUUGACGAGAAAGAGUACGCUAAUCCCCUUGUUCCACAGAGAGUUGGUGCAUGCUGAAAGCCAACGUUCAAGACUUAGCUGAAAAUCCUCUCCGAGAAGGAAAGCUGAAGUAAUUAAGUAAGCUGACCCGGGUUCCAGCCGUUACAAAGGAUGCGUAUGAUGGUACGUAGUAAGAGGUGUCGUAAGAUCAUGUUCUACAUGAUCGUUACGGAACUAGGGUGGUAUCGCGAGAUGAAAUCUCGUCCCUUAU
rnacentral:ncRNA from 1 species